rnacentral:ncRNA from 2 species
ACCUAAUUAAUUUCAAUCAUUUAUAUAAUUUGACGAUAAGGGUCAAAAGUUUCUACCUAACACCGUAAAUGUUAGACUAUAAAUGUUGCACAUUAUGUG